UGUGCUUCCUGGUAGGAUGCACUGAGAAGAACACAACAACACUUGAGUGAUAUUCCAGCCAAAGAUGAAUAACCUGAAUCUAAUGGACCCAGACGUGGCCUUGGCUAUCUCCCCAAGCAGUGCUGUUUGUUUUCAUGGAAAGAUGUUAUUAUAACCAUUUUAUGUGUACUAAGGAUACAUAGAGAGCAAAAGUCCCUUAAGAGAUAAGAGGGAAAGUGUCAGCUACUGACUCUCCGAAGUUCUGUGCAUGAGUUCCAUUGAAACCACCAUUCGAUUCAUCGUCAGUAACUAAAUAAACGGUGUGUGUAAGAUUCAAACACAUGAGUCCCAGCUGGGCAAACUAAUUCUACCCUUCACUAUUUAAUACUUGUAAGUUAUGUUAACAUUAUAUCUAAGCUCCCGUGGA
rnacentral:lncRNA from 1 species